GCCUCCUCACUCUCUAACUUGAAUAUUUUAUUCUUAAUUCUCUUCUUCCUCUCUACACACCCAAAUCUCUUCUCCCCCACUCUCUGUCUCUCUAUGUAUAAAAUAUAAUAUGUGUGUGUAAGUAGCUACAUAUACGUGGCCAUGGAGAUUAUUUGGAGUUUGAUGAUGCAAGAGAGAAAGUAAUGGGUGAGUAACACUUGAUGGAGAAGCAGGGCACGUGCGAACACAAAUGAAAUCGAUCGGUACUUGUUGAUCAUAUUUUCGCGCGUGUU
rnacentral:precursor_RNA from 1 species